rnacentral:rRNA from 1 species
AUACGUAGGGGGCGAGCGUUGUCCGGAAUUAUUGGGCGUAAAGGGCGCGCAGGCGGUCGAUUAAGUCGGAUGUGAAAGGCCACGGCUCAACCGUGGAGUUGCAUCCGAAACUGGUUGGCUUGAGUGCAGGAGAGGAGAGCGGAAUUCCCGGUGUAGCGGUGAAAUGCGUAGAGAUCGGGAGGAACACCAGUGGCGAAGGCGGCUCUCUGGCCUGUUACUGACGCUGAGGCGCGAAAGCGUGGGUAGCGAACAGGAUUAGAUACCCUGGUAGUCCACGCCGUAAACGAUGAGUGCUAGGUGUUGGGGGCUUUCAUGCCCUCUGUGCCGAAGGCAACCCAAUAAGCACUCCGCCUGGGGAGUACGGCCGCAAGGCUGAA